rnacentral:rRNA from 1 species
UACGUAGGUGGCAAGCGUUAUCCGGAAUUAUUGGGCGUAAAGGGAGCGCAGGCGGCGCAUUAAGUCUAUGGUUAAAGUUCGGGGCUCAACUCCGAAUUGCCAUGGAAACUGGUGUGCUAGAGUGCAGGAGAGGUGAGUGGAAUUCCAUGUGUAGCGGUAAAAUGCGUAGAUAUAUGGAGGAACACCAGUGGCGAAGGCGGCUCACUGGCCUGUAACUGACGCUGAGGCUCGAAAGCGUGGGGAGCAAACA